AGGGUUCGAUUCUGGCUCAGGAUGAACGCUAGCUACAGGCUUAACACAUGCAAGUCGAGGGGCAGCAGAUCGAAAGCUUGCUUUGAUGCUGGCGACCGGCGCACGGGUGAGUAACGCGUAUCCAACCUUCCCUAUAGUAGAGAAUAGCCCGGCGAAAGUCGGAUUAAUGCUCUAUGUUGUAUUUAGAGGACAUCUGAAGAAUACCAAAGGUUUACCGCUAUAGGAUGGGGGAUGCGUCUGAUUAGGUUGUUGGCGGGGUAACGGCCCACCAAGCCCACGAUCAGUAGGGGUUCUGAGAGGAAGGUCCCCCACAUUGGAACUGAGACACGGUCCAAACUCCUACGGGAGGCAGCAGUGAGGAAUAUUGGUCAAUGGACGCAAGUCUGAACCAGCCAAGUAGCGUGCAGGAUGACGGCCCUAUGGGUUGUAAACUGCUUUUAUACAGGGAUAAAGUGAGGGACGUGUCCCUUUUUGUAGGUACUGUAUGAAUAAGGACCGGCUAAUUCCGUGCCAGCAGCUGC
rnacentral:rRNA from 1 species